rnacentral:rRNA from 1 species
GACGAACGCUGGCGGCGUGCCUAACACAUGCAAGUCGAACGGAACUGUUUUGAAAGAUUUCUUCGGAAUGAAUUUGAUUUAGUUUAGUGGCGGACGGGUGAGUAACGCGUGAGUAACCUGCCUUCAAGAGGGGGAUAACAUUCUGAAAAGAAUGCUAAUACCGCAUGACAUAUCGGAACCACAUGGUUCUGAUAUCAAAGAUUUUAUCGCUUGAAGAUGGACUCGCGUCCGAUUAGUUAGUUGGUGAGGUAACGGCUCACCAAGACCGCGAUCGGUAGCCGGACUGAGAGGUUGAACGGCCACAUUGGGACUGAGACACGGCCCAGACUCCUACGGGAGGCAGCAGUGGGGAUAUUGCGCAAUGGGGCAACCCUGACGCAGCAACGCCGCGUGAAGGAUGAAGGUUUUCGGAUUGUAAACUUCUUUUAUUAAGGCGAAAAAUGACGGUACUUAAUGAAUAAGCUCCGGCUAACUACGUGCCAGCAGCCGCGUAAGUAACGUA